AUCUGGAGCUAUUGGACUUGGGAUAUAAUAACUUCAGUGGACCAUUUCCAUCUGAAUUUGCCAAUAAUCUGUCACUGACUACCCUAUUACUUGAUAACAACAAGUUCAUUAGCAGCAUUUCCCAUGAAUUAUAUGAACUUAAGAUGAUUUCUGAAAUUCAGGCAGAUGAAAACCGGCAAAGAGUUUCGUGUAGCAGCGGAGACUUAACCUGGAACUUGGCUCACCAAGGAGACAUAGCUCACAGGAUGCUGUUGCGGGUGGUUGAUGCAGCAAAUCCACCCAAAGCCAACAAUCAUAAAGUACAUCAUAGUAGUUCUGCACCAUCACCUUCUCUGUCUCUAUUGCCACCAUCAUUUCCACCAUCAGAAUCUCCAUCAUCAUUCUCACCCUCUGAUCCAACAUUAUUGUCACCAUCAUCAUUUUCCCCCUCACAUCCUUCACAAUCUCCAUCAUUUGCUCCAUCAGAAUCCCCUUCAAGUAUCCUCUUGCCUCCUUCACCCUCACCCACAGAAUCACCAUCAUCAAUAGAAUCUGCAACUAAAGUUUCACCUGCUCCUGCAC
rnacentral:misc_RNA from 1 species